rnacentral:rRNA from 1 species
CAGCAUACUGCCGUGAAUACGUUCCCGGGCCUUGUACACACCGCCCGUCACACCAUGAGAGUUGGGGAUACCCGAAGCCUGUGAGCUAACUAUUUAUAGGAGUAGCAGUCGAAGGUAGAAUCAAUGAUUGGGGUGAAGUCGUAACAAGGUAAC